AGCGAACGCUGGCGGCAGGCUUAACACAUGCAAGUCGAGCGGGCCCUUCGGGUCAGCGGCAGACGGGUGAGUAACACGUGGGAACGUACCCUUCGGUUCGGAAUAACUCAGGGAAACUUGAGCUAAUACCGGAUACGCCCUUUGGGGAAGGUUACUGCGAAGGAUCGCCCGCGUCUGAUAGCUAGUUGGUGGGGUAAUGGCCCACCCAAAGGCGACGAUCAGUAGCUGGUCUGAGAGGAUGAUCAGCCACACUGGGACUGAGACACGGCCCAGACUCCUACGGGAGGCAGCAGUGGGGAAGUAAUUGGACAAAUGGGCGGCAAGCCUGAUCCAGCCAUGCCGCGUGAGUGAUGAAGGCCUUAGGGUUGUUAAAG
rnacentral:rRNA from 1 species